rnacentral:misc_RNA from 1 species
AACACUGUUAACCUGCGGUACCUGCGGAAGGAUCAUUACAGAGUUGCAAAACUCCCUAAACCAUUGUGAACGUUACCUAAACCGUUGCUUCGGCGGGCGGCCCGGGUCCUUCCCGGCGCCCAUCGGCCCUCGCGGGCGCCCGCCGGAGGUAAACCAAACUAUUGCAUUGUAUGGCCUCUCUGAGUCUUCUGUACUGAAUAAGUCAAAACUUUUAACAACGGAUCUCAGAUCGGAAGAGCA